GGGGGUAGCUCAGUGGUAGAGCACAUGCUUAGCAUGCGUGAGGUCCUGGGUUCGAUCCCCAGUACAUCCA
rnacentral:tRNA from 1 species